rnacentral:rRNA from 1 species
GUGAGGAAUAUUGCGCAAUGGAGGCAACUCUGACGCAGCCAUGCCGCGUGCAGGAAGAAGGCGCUACGCGUUGUAAACUGCUUUUAACCGGGAAGAAACCCCAGGACGUGUCCUGGGUUGACGGUACCGGAGGAAUAAGCACCGGCUAACUUCGUGCCAGCAGCCGCGGUAAUACGAAGGGUGCAAGCGUUAUCCGGAUUCAUUGGGUUUAAAGGGUGCGUAGGCGGAGCGUUAAGUCAGUGGUGAAAUCCUGCAGCUUAACUGUAGACUUGCCAGUGAUACUGGCGCUCGUGGGUGCGCUUGAAGUGGGCGGAAUGUGCCGUGUAGCGGUGAAAUGCUUAGAUAUGGCACAGAACACCAAUUGCGAAGGCAGCUCACUAAGGCGAUACUGACGCUGAGGCACGAAAGCGUGGGGAUCGAACAGGAUUAGAAACCCCUGUAGUCC